AACGCGAAGAACCUUACGAGCAUGUGGUUUAAUUCGAAGCAACGCGAAGAACCUUACCAAAUCUUGACAUCCUUUGACCGCUCUAGAGAUAGAGUCUUCGGCUUCGGGGGAGAAAGUGACAGGUGGUGCAUGGUUGUCGUCAGCUCGUGUCGUGAGAUGUUGGGUUAAUUCUCGCAACGAGCGCAACUGUUAAGCUUAGAUGCCAUCAUUAAGUUGGGCACUCUAAGUUGACUGCCGGUGACAAACCGGAGGAAGGUGGGGAUGACGUCAAAUCAUCAUGCCCCUUAUGAUUUGGACUACACACGUGCUACAAUGUACAAUACAAAGGACAGCUAAACCGCGAGGUCAAGCAAAUCCCAUAAAGUUGUUCUCAGUUCGGAUUGUAGUCUGCAACUCGACUACAUGAAGCUGGAAUCGGGUCUUGUACACACGC
rnacentral:rRNA from 1 species